rnacentral:rRNA from 1 species
AAAAGUCGUAACAACCGUUUCCGUAGGUGAACCUGCGGAAGGAUCAUUA